rnacentral:lncRNA from 1 species
CUUCAGGAGUGAAGCUGCAGACCUUCGCGUGAUGGAGGUUGAGAAGUCCAACUUCAAGGCACCACAUCUGGUGAGAGCCUUCAUUCCGAUGACAGCCUUCAUGCUGCAACCUGCAGCAGGAAAAUGGGCUUCAGUUUUCAAGUCUGCAGCUGAGUUGGGAAGUUGCGGACAGUAACCAGGAUCGCUGUCCUUAUAAGAAGUGGAAGAAACAUCAGAGAGCUCUCCCUCUCCACACACACAGAGGAAAGGCCACAUGGGGACAAGAGAGGGCAACUGUCUACAAAUCUGGAAGAGAGACUUCAGAAGAAACCAGCACUGAUGGCAUCUGAUCUUGGACUUCCAGCCUCUGGAUCUAUCUGCCAGAGCCUGAUCUCAUACACACUGAUGUGGUACAGGAAAUGCCACCUGAAAAUAUGGUACCUUGGCAUUUGAGGAAACAGUAGAAGGAGGUCAUAGAAACUAGAAAGAAUUCCUCCUUGCUCUUUGUCCCCCAAAGGAGCCAUAAAACCUGGGCCGAGUUUCUUCUGAAAAUAAGUUAUAAGAUCCUUAUUCCAGAGGGGUCCUGCCCUGUGCCUGGAGGAAAAGAAUGAAGACACAGAGAUGCCUUGAAGAAUCUGAACAAACAGCCCUUGCUAAGUUCCCCCCAGUUUAUUGACAUUAGAUUAGACCUUUUGUCCUCCAAUUAUACUUCUGUGUUCCUGAAAAUACACAUUUUCCCGUUUUUUCUUUUGUUUGCUUUUUUUGAUCUUCAUUUCUGAAGA